rnacentral:lncRNA from 1 species
GCCGACCCUGGCUGGCUGCAGUCCAGUGCUUUGGGUUUUCGAGUGUGCUGGGUACAGGUGACAUGUUGUCCUGGAGCCUGGGGCGCGUAGGCUCAGAGCGACCCGCAGCCUUUGCCUAGACCCCGACCCAGAGGGCUGGAGGCCCUGGUAGGCGGGUCGGGGAGGAAGGGGUGCGCGCAGGCGGGCGACUGUGGCGCGUGGGCGGUCAAGGAGACGGUCUGCUGGCGACCGCGUGUCACCUGUGGUCUACCUGUGUGUCGUGGGCUCCGCGCCCCCUCUCAGCCCGCCUCUCGGCUGCAGAGAGACAGUUCUCUACUGAAUAGGAGUGAGAGGCUUCCCAGAGUUCCAUUCCCAGACACCCUUCCACCCCACGAAGCGCGGAGGGAGAUCUUGAGUUACUCCGUGUGGAGGGACACGCGAAGUGUUGGGCAGUGACUGAGGCUUCUAGAGACCAGGCCGAAGGAGUCUGCAAUAGGAGUUAUAGAAGCUGUCGGUUGUGUUCCUUCAAAUCUUUUUUUGGUGCUGGAGAUUGAACUCGGGGCACUCGACCGCUGAGCCACACCCCAUCCCUGUUUUGUACUUUAUUUAGGGACAGGGUCUCACUGAGUUGCUUAGCGCCUCGCCAUUGCUGAGGCCGGCUUUGAAGACAGAAGUACUGGUUGCUCUCCUUGACUUUGCCUUGGAACUCACUGCCUGAGUAGUCUCAGGAAGAGCUUUGUGUGGGUGCCGUAGGCAGCUCCCCUGAGCUCAGCCCGAGAUAUGUUUCCACUGUUUGUACAAGGGGUUUCAUUGCUUGUGUGGAUCGGAACCUGGGUCUACCCAUGGUUGGCAAUGUGAACAGAUGUGUUGCCCGGGGCUCUUUCUGCAUCUGUAGAAUCAGGGAGUAAUGGCAAUAGUAUUUAGCUCCCAGGAACCUCUACCCUUGAGAGUGCUGCACAAACAUGAGCUUUGUAAUUUUUAUUAAUUUUUAAACAUGAUCUUUUUUUAUGUUUAUUUUUUAGUUGUAGUUAGACACAAUAUCUUUGUUUUA